CGCGCUUUCGUUGAUGAAUUACAGAUGCUUGCACCGAACAUGAUUUUAGCUAUAAAGUGAGUGGCGAACGGGCGAGUAACACGUGGGUAACCUGCCCAGAAGUGGGGGAUAACACCUGGAAACAGAUGCUAAUACCGCAUAACAAAGUAAACCGCAUGGUUUACUUUUAAAAGAUGGCUUCCGCUAUCACUUCUGGAUGGACCCGCGGCGUACUAGGUAGUUGGUGAGAUAAAGGCUCACCAAG
rnacentral:rRNA from 1 species